CUGGCGGAGACAUGGACCAGAGACUUUACCAGAAUGCAGGACAUCCCGGAGGAGACGGAGAGCCGCGACGGGGAGGCUGUAGCCUCCGAGAGCUAAGGGGGCCCCUCCCCCCUGCCCCGUGCCCCACUGAAGAACAUUACUGAGGGGGCUAACCUUGGGGACUCCAAUUUGCCAAUGAUGAGGGAACAUUUGAAAGAACUGCAAAUUGUCCUUGCCAGCUCUUGGGAUCCUUGGAUACCUGGGGCCAUUUAAGAAGCUAGGGGAAUUAGGCCACAACACCCCCUGGGACAUCCGAAAGCUACACCACAGAUGCCAGUGGUUCAUGCCUUCUUCCCGCAACUUUAGGAAAAUUUAUUUAUUUAUUGUUUAUUAGUUAUGGGGGGAGAGGGGAGAUUUAAAGGACCAGGGACAUGGGAACCAAGCCAUAGGGAUCAGAGGGCCUUGUCCUUGAACACUACUGGGGUAUAUUCAGGCUCAUCCACGCAGCUGCUGGGUUCUUGCCCUAACGGCCCUCCCCUGCAACAUCCGUCUUGGAGGAGAGGCUGCAGCCACAGCACCCUACUGCCCUUUAAAUAAAGGAGGGCUGUGGGCAGGGCCAUGUCCCUUUCUCCUCUCCCCUCAACCUCUUACUGCUGUUCUCCCUUUCUCCGUCCUUCAUGGAAGCCCUGGGAGAUAACCUGGCUUCCUGGAGUUGAUGGAAUAAAGGUUGGGGUGGCCAUAAUGGUUUGUUGGGGGUGAGGGAAAAAACCCACAGGGACCAGAAUGUUUUGUUGUUCUUUUGUUUUCUUUUUUGUACCAAAGUCAACUGCACGUGUUUUAUAUUUUUAAGAGAUCGUAGGCAAUUAGAGAUCGAAGCCUCCUAUCUCCACAUCUCUGAAGAAGUUGAGGGGUGGGGGAGAGAAUGACUUCUGCCUUCAUCUGCAGUAACGGGGGGACCUAUACUGACCUCUUCCCCAGCCAUUUAGAAACAAGUUCUAGGGUGGGUUGGAAAAUCUCCAAGAGCCCUGACCUCAUCUUCCACCUCAGCAACCAUGACCUGAAACCUCAGCGUGAAUUUGGGGGAUUUUUCAGUGGAACCCUUGCCCCCAAAUGUCGACCAGCCCCCAAAUGUCGAAGAAUUUUCUUCUUGCCAAUUUUGUUGUUUAAAAAAAAAAUUCAGGGAAAAUUAAAAACCUGGAACU
rnacentral:lncRNA from 1 species